GCAGUAGCCGCGGGAAUACGAGGGGGGCAAGCGUUGUUCGGAAUUAUUGGGCGUAAAGGGUGCGUAGGCGGUUUGACAAGUCUUAUGUGAAAUCUCUGGGCUCGACCCAGAGUCUGCAUGGGAAACUGUCGGGCUUGAGUAUGGGAGAGGUGAGUGGAAUUUCCGGUGUAGCGGUGAAAUGCGUAGAUAUCGGAAGGGACACCUGUGGCGAAAGCGGCUCACUGGACCAUAACUGACGCUGAGGCACGAAAGCUAGGGGAGCAAACAGGAUUAGAUACCCCAGUAGUCCCUGUCUCUUAUAC
rnacentral:rRNA from 1 species